AGGAUCCUGGGUGUGGAGGGCACUUCGCUCCCUGUGGGGUUAUACUGGGGUCCUCUGCCCUUGAAGUGGCUUUUAAGCAAUUUGUCUUAUUGACGCUGCCCUUCCCCUGGCUGUGAGUGAUAUGGAACUAUUGUGAAUUUUGAUAUUUGAUAUCUCCAAAGCAAUUGAAGACAUUCUUACUCAAUUCAGCUGAAAAAGAUUAGGUUCAUUCUGGAAGAGAGGAAGAUUUGGGAGAAAUGUCGGAAACAGUGUGGGUUCAUGGAGUCCUUGUUUAGCUUGUCACUGGAUUGUACCUCCAUUGGCUGGAUUCAGCCAUCUAGAUUGGGGGUGGGCAAACUACGGCCCCUGGGCUAAAUCUGUCCCAAAGCUGGCCUGCUACUUGACUUUAUAAAUAAAGUUUUAUUGGAACACAGCCAUGCCCAUUUAGUGUGUCACCAGCAGGGUUGAGUAACUACAGCACAGAUCAUAUGGCCCUUUGUAGAGAAGGUUUGGUGGUAACCUGUAUUCGAUGGCCCAGCCCCUCUCAAAGAAGAGCUGCCUAAGUGUCCCGUAAAUUGGCCUCAUGAGACGAAGUUUGGAUCAGUGGAUACUCCACCCCUCAAGAGGAUGGUGGCAGCACAUGGCAGCUUUAUGAACCCGAAGAACUUUGUAGAUUGAGAGCUGUAGCUUGUGGACCUCUCCCUGGAGAUCAGCAUCUCAGUUUCCAGGGGCGACAUCUCUUCACCAGAGCUCCUGGUAGCAGAUCAAGAGGCCCGGAGCCCCACAGUCCCACCGCCACCCAGUCGAGGCGAGGGAGCUCCCUGCCGUCGGUGGCAGCGUAGACUGAGCAGGAGGGUCUCCCUGAAGUUAGCCAUGGUGGCUCUGAUGUCAUAAAGUCAAAUGGAAAUGGCUUCGACAUGGUGACCACUGCACACAGUGCUGCGGAGACUCAGGAGAGGGAGUGUCCUAGGCUAGGGAGUGUCCACAGAAACUUGCUUCUGGACUCGGCCUGUGAGCUGAUUCGGCCCUGGGCACAUGGUCGUGUGCAGUGGCCCCGGAGUCUGCAGGCUCCUGUGGUGCAGGUUUGUCGCAUGCCUAGACCUGGGGUAGCAGCUGGUUCAUGGUCUCCUGUGAGGGCUGCACUUGAAACCCUGCAGACUGAAGCCAUGAGUAGGCAGGUUAUUAUCAUCGUAUUUGUGGAGAAACAGCCAGGGCUUUGUCAAACAUCCAGUUACAACGAUGAAUAAGUACCAGCGAAUUAGAUUCUCCAGUCUAACCUCACGGUCAUGGAGAUCCAACUUUCUUCUUGUUGCCACCUGAAACCAGUGGUGCUCAAAUUUGAGUUUUAAAUUCCUCUCUGAAUUUAGUCAGGAUAAAAAGUUUCUUUUACCUUUUGAACCUUUAUAAUGUUGGACUGUAUCAAAUGUUGUGGCUUUAAAUCUGAAAUAGCCUGGCCUGGUUUUGAGUUUUGAGCCAGAGGACCCAUUAAUAAAACCAAAAUUGUUUUACCCCAGAACAAACAUGAGCUGGCCACUCGGUGUGCUAGUGCACUUCAGGGCUGAUGCCCUCGCCUGCUGGUGGUGUUUGUGUUAUGCUGCCACCUCCCUGAGGCUAUCCCAGGAGUCUCUCUUUCUCACACACAUAUCAAAAUUUACACACUUUGAGUUAUUAAAAAAAAUACUUUUGCUUAUGAUGUUGAAGUCACCCCUAAAUUUGUUCUCCUUAAGCAAAAUGAAGGUAUUCGAUUUUCUUUCAGGGAAUCCCUAAGUGUUAGUAUUUUGUAAUUUUAUGUUAACCCCUUUCUAAAAUGUUGGGGUUUUACUCCUAAAUUAUGAGCUGAAAUUAUGGCAUGAAGCGUGAUUGCCACACUUUUAUCCUAUAGAUCAUCAUCAUGAAAAGUCCAUAUCUGGUGUAAAUUCUCCCUUCCUGCAUGACAUAAGAAAAUCACUCUCUCUUUAGGUAGAGAAGGGUGUUUGUCCUUAAGGUUUUAAAGCCACACUCCCCAGCCCCGCACUCUGUACACUGUCUUCCUUUAUAGGCCACAUCUUUGUUUUCUUUUUCCAUAACUAAGUGUUACUUAGUUUUCAUGCCUAAACUGUGCCAUUUGCUCCCCUGUCCCUCCCUAAGUUAUUGUAACAGAUCCAUGAACCCCAGGCUCUGGGCUCACUUACAUUUGGUCAUCUUCCUGGACAAAACAUGUCUUGUGAGGUCAGGGCACUGUUGGUUUCCUACCCACUUUGUUGACAAGGCCUGCGCCACUGGGAUCUUGGCAUUCUUUUAAGAACAUGCUCUUUAAGUAGAGGAAGAAAUUCCAAAAUAACCAAAGUGACCUUUUGGGGAUUAAUUAAAGAUAUUCAUGACAGUUAUGCUGUUAUGCUAAAAUAUACCCAUGUAUCAAUUAUAAGUAAAAUGAAUGAAAUUUUUUUCAUUCUGAGAAACUGUUGAAAGUUUUGAAAAUAUUGGGAGAUGUCCUUAGAUGGCAUUAUGUAAAAUUGACAAUUAGUCCCUUAAUUAGUGCCUUAUGCACUAAAGAACCUUUUUUUUUUGGAGACAGGGUCUCAUUAAUUGCAGCUCCUGGGCUCAGCCUCCCCAGUAACUGGGACCACAGGCUCAGGCCUGCUCCUGUUUACAUUUAUGUUCUUAGACACUGAACCUACAUGGAAACCACAUGCUCAUAGUGUUGAGAACUCCUCCUCUGGAGCAGGGGACAGUUGAAGACAUUUGCUGAUGUGCAUCUCAUCCUUUGCUGACCCCAUGUUAAACCCCAGGAGGUGUGUACGUGUGGGUGUGUGGGUAUGCCGGGCUUAUCACCCGCUGUGUGCACUCACACACACCCCUCCGUGUCCACGCGCACACCUGCUUAGACCUUAGCUGAAACAGUUGUCACAGGAGGUUAUCAGCUGAAUUCUGUAUUUGCACAUAGGUUUGGAUUUUGACCUUUCAUAGUGUCAGCAUAACAGAUGAGGGUUGCAGAAGCCACUGUUCAGUGAGAAAAUGGUUUGAACUCAUGAUUUAAAGAGAAUAUUUUAAAAUAUUAUCGACCCCAAUUGAGGGUUUGUAACUUAUGUAAAUUUAAAAAUUGUUUUCAAAAAUCUGAGACAGUUUAUCUCUUGCUUCUGCAUAAUACAAUGACAUAGUAAGAAUUGUAAUGAAAGUAUUGUAUGCGUUUCCUAUAAUUAACCUAAAAGCACAAAUGUGAAUUUAUAUUUUAAAUUUUCUCCACUAGAGGGCUCUGUUGCCCUUCCAUAAGAUUAAACAAAAGAGGCAGCUUCUCCAUCUAGUUUUCUCCCUCUGGCCGGUCUUGCUUUCAUUUUUGUUAAAUAAUGCCUUUUCCUCUCCUAACAUAUCUUUUAGGUCUUGUACUUCUCAGCAAUAGAGUUCAAGCUGAAGACGGUUAUUAAUGUCUCUGUUUCUUUUCCUCUCUUUCUGCUUUGCGUUUUUGUUUUGUUUGUAUGGGAUGCCAAGGAUGAGGAGAGCCAGUUAAUAAAGAGGCCCAUUGUAUUCAGGGAGCAGCUCCUUCUGCCAAAUGACACAAGGGCAUGUGUUUUGUGACAUUAUUGGUUUUGAGUGUGCUGGCCUAUCAAUAAUGUGAUUUCUUUUUUUCUAAGUGGUAAUUGUGAUAUUUAAAUAUUAGUGCCUCUGUUUAAAGCUCAUUUAGAAUGCCUUAGUGACCUUAUAUUUUCCCUAAGAACGUCGUCUCCCUUGCCGCUGUCACCAGCUCUACGUAGGCUUAUGUAAUGAUUUUAAUUAGAUUGUUUAUUAGCAAUACAUUCUUGUACUAAAAGAAAAUGUAUCCUUUUGGGCUCAGCAUCUGCUUUUUAAGCUAGAGGCCACAUUAAGCCAGAUACAUAAUACAGAGCAGAUAGCCAGUGCUCCCGAGUCCUGCGGGCACUGCUGGUUUUGGCUCCGUAACUAAAGCUCCAGGCAGCCCAGCAGUUGCAUUCUGCAGCUGUCAAACAGAAAUUUGGCCCAGAAGAAAACAGUUUGGCUUUAUAAACUGCUUAUUUUCAAAUUCCAAAUGGGAACAAAACGAAUACACUAUAUUACAUAUUUUUACUUAUAUUAUUUUUCUUUCUCAACAACUUUUUCUCUUUUUAAAAUGUGAGCACCUGGAAACUUUGUGAACAUAUGUCUGUAUCAUCACGAAACUAUUCCACUAAAGCUGUUUGGUCAUUCAUGUACAAAUGUGUUCAUUAUUUAUCAAAUAAAAUGUUAAAACUGGA